UUUUUGGUAGAGUUAUGGUCCCCUUUUGACAUUAUAUUGGUAUAUCAGGGAUAUGUUUUGUACGGGAAGAAGGAGUUACAUCAGCAUUAUUUAGUCUGCAGAAUAGCUACACUUCUAGUGGCAAUUUGGUGAAGAUUUUCUUUUAAACAGAUUUUACCAAAGAACGAACAAAAUAACAGCUGUUUUAUUUUUCUUUCCAGAAACAAAGUGGGUUCAAAGGUUCAGUUUGAAGCCGGCCACACUUAAACAUAUCUCUAGGACUAUAGCUGCCGAGUCACCUCCUCCAACACCAGAGCUGGAGAUCAAGGAAAUCUCAAGAAUCAAGCGAAAAAGACUGUCUCAAAGAAGGAAAUAUCUGACAAGUUUCAUACAAGUAAUCCUGGGUCAGAAGAUUUUUAUACAACCACAGAAACCUCAUGAGUAGCAGCUUUUUACCUGUACUGCCAACAGUCAGUCGCAGUUGACUAUGAUUUAACUCACAGACCUACAGCUCUGGUGCACUCAGGUACUGGAUUGACUCAACUCAACAGUAUAUUGGGAUGUUUAAAUAUUUCAACUGUUACUGUACACAUACACUUACAGGUCACAGUUUCAGUCGUUACAUAUAUGUGCAGAUUGAGAGAGCCUGGAAAGGCCAUUGAGGAAGUUGCGUUGGAGUCACUGCAGGAAGCUUUAAAAGAAGAGAAAGAUAGUGAUGGGGCAUUGCAAAAUGAUAGGAUGCAAAACUGGAAAGGUUGUUGGCUAUGCUGUACGUUCAAAAGGCUGCAGAAUUUGUGAAGCCAGUGAAGUCAAAGGACAGUGUCCAGGU
rnacentral:lncRNA from 1 species